rnacentral:tRNA from 1 species
GGGGGCGUGGCUCAGUGGUAGAGCCCCUGCCUAGCAUGUCAAACACCCUGGGUUCCACUCCCAGCACCACCA